CCUACGGGAGGCAGCAGUGAGGAAUAUUGGUCAAUGGGCGGGAGCCUGAACCAGCCAAGUCGCGUGAGGGAAGACGGUCCUAUGGAUUGUAAACCUCUUUAGGCGGGGAGCAAUGCCGGGCACGCGUGCCCGGAGGGAGAGUACCCGCAGAAUAAGCAUCGGCUAACUCCGUGCCAGCAGCCGCGGUAAUACGGAGGAUGCGAGCGUUAUCCGGAUUUAUGGGGGUUAAAGGAUGCGUAGGCGGAUUUUUAAGUCAGCGGUAAAAUGUCCGGGCUCAACCCGGGCCGGCCGUUGAAACUGGGGAUCUUGAGUGGGCGAGAGGUAUGCGGAAUGCGUGGUGUAGCGGUGAAAUGCAUAGAUAUCACGCAGAACACCGAUUGCGAAGGCAGCAUACCGGCGCCCGACUGACGCUGAGGCACGAAAGCGUGGGGAUCGAACAGGAUUAGAUACCCGAGUAGUC
rnacentral:rRNA from 1 species